rnacentral:lncRNA from 1 species
GCCCCUUUUUGCUACCCCUGAAGCUUACUGUUAGUGGUCGAGUUUUUCUGGAAGUGGGCUUCCGCGAUCGCGGGGACCAACGCCCUGAGCUCUUGUGCCCAAAGGGGAUCGCCAGGUUUUUUGAUGCGGAUCGAAAGGGACUGGCCCCGGAGCCUACAACCUGACGCAGGUGGACAAGGUGGAGGAGAGAGAAUUCCUUGGCAGUAGCAUUAUGAACAAAUGCAGGGCUGAGAAACAGCAUGGUGGCCUUGACUAAGUUUAUGGCGACAGCAGAUAAGGAAACAGCUGAAUUUAUGUCACUUGCCCAAUGUCACACAACUAGCAAGACUGACUCCUUGAAGCUCAUCACAUAUGGAGUCUUGCUCUGUCGCCCAGGCUAGAGUGCAGUGGCGCGAUCUCAGCUCACUGAAACCUCUGCCUCCCGGGUUCAAGUGAUUCUCCUGCCUCCGCCACGCGAUGCCUCUUCAUGGGUGGUGGAUGAAGAAACUGAACAGGGCCAUGAUCCUUAUCUGUAAUUUCCCGGCUACCACACUGCUUUGGUGGUCUUCCCUCGUCUCUUCCUGGGUAGAAACAACUACCUGGAGAUCCCAAUGUUCUUGUCAGUGCACUUUUCAUGGACUGCAGUGCCUACUUCAUACUGGGUGGAAUUUUUAUGAUUAGCGCCCUUCUCUCAUUCUGCUUGAACUUUUUGUUGCUGACCUUCCCUCAGUUAUUCCCUGAGACCCAGAAACAGUAUAUUUUCUGUGCAUCCAUCUGCAUUGUCACAGGAGCCCUCUACCUUCGCAAUUCCCGGUGCUGUGGAGCUGUCAGAGUUUUAACAUCUCAACCAAGCCACAUGGAUACUAUUUCCUCAGAAAAGACAAAAUUGAUCCAAGCAGAAGAGUGAACUCACCGAAGAGGACUCUCUACCCAUAACUGGGGAUGCCUCAGCCACUCACACUUACUCCAAGAUUAGUGUCACUGAUUAUGGAAAGAAUUGACUUCUUCCCCUGGUCUUGCUCAUUUUUCUAGAGCCCAGGACAAUAAAUGUGUUUUACGGCAGAGAAAA